rnacentral:tRNA from 1 species
AGCGGCGUGGCUCAGUGGAAAGAGUUUGGGUUUGGGAGUCAGAGGUCAUGGGUUUGAAUCCCGACGCCCCUU